rnacentral:snoRNA from 1 species
AACCUCUUGGUGCUCACCACAGGCUGUAUUCUUACAAUGACUGUACAGAAAGAGAAGGGAAAGAAAACCCACCCCAUAUACACCUCAGCCCAAGAGCCAUGCCUAGUCUAUACUGUAAAUGGGAAGAUAUGG